rnacentral:rRNA from 1 species
ACGAGCACGCCAAAAAAUCCAGACAAGUUGGCGAUAGUUCUUGCGGAUGACCAAACUAAUGGCAAUCAAGAAGAUGAUGGUCAUACUCCUACAGAAGGCAAUGUUGACGUCAACAUGGAUGAUAGCAAUGUGAGUGAUCAUGAGCCCAUACUUAAUUCAUAUGCGGUAGAAUCUACUAGUGUUGAUGAGGAACAAGUUAGUGUGGAUAUUUAUGACCCAAGCAAUUGGGGUAAUCUUGAUAACAAAGCAAGGGACAUAUUAGUGGAAAAGGGGCCUAAAAUGGAAGAAGAAAACAAUAAACAUCCUUUGGAUGAAAAUUCAAGACAUUUUUCGUAUAGCCAUUACUCCAGAAAGAUGAGCAAUGGAGAGGUGCGUGAUAGGAAAUGGUUAGUUUUUUCAAAACACACAAAGAAAGUGUUUUGUUUUCGCUGUAAGCUUUUCAAUUCUGAUAAAUGCAACAGUGCAAUGGGGAAUGAUGGGUUUUGUGAUUGGAGGCAUAUUAAUGAGAGACUGAAAGAGCACGAAGCUAGUGAUUUUGCAUCUCAGAAUGUUAGGAGAAAUGUUUGA